rnacentral:rRNA from 1 species
GAUCAUGGCUCAGGAUGAACGCUGGCGGCGUGCCUAACACAUGCAAGUCGAGCGAAGCGGUUUUAAGGAAGUUUUCGGAUGGAAUUAAAACUGACUGAGCGGCGGACGGGUGAGUAACGCGUGGGUAACCGUGCCUCAUACAGGGGGAGUAACAGUUAGAAAUAGACUGCUAAUACCGCAUAAGCACACAGCUUCGCAUGGAGCAGUGUGAAAAACUACCGGUGGUAUGAGAUGGACCCGCG